UUCCGGUUGAUCCUGCCGGACCGACUGCUAUCAGAGUGGUGACUAAGCCAUGCGAGUCAACGCCGCAAGGCGUGGCAUACGGCUCAGUAACACGUAGUCAACAUGCCCAAGGGACGUGGAUAACCUCGGGAAACUGAGGAUAAACCGCGAUAGGCCAAGAUUUCUGGAAUGGAUCAUGGCUGAAAUCUACAUGGCCCUUGGAUUGGACUGCGGCCGAUCAGGCUGUUGGUGAGGUAAUGGCCCACCAAACCUAUAACCGGUACGGGCUUUGAGAGAAGGAGCCCGGAGAUGGGCACUGAGACAAGGGCCCAGGCCCUAUGGGGCGCAGCAGGCGCGAAAACUCUGCAAUAGGCGAAAGCUUGACAGGGUUACUCUGAGUGAUGUCCGCUAAGGGCAUCUUUUGGCACCUCUAAAAAUGGUGCAGAAUAAGGGGUGGGCAAGUCUGGUGUCAGCCGCCGCGGUAAUACCAGCACCCCGAGUGGUCGGGACGAUUAUUGGGCCUAAAGCAUCCGUAGCUUGUCCUGCAAGUCUUCCGUUAAAUCCACCUGCUCAACAGAUGGGCUGCGGAGGAUACUACAGGGCUAAGAAGCGGGA
rnacentral:rRNA from 1 species